AGCUGUGGGCAAUGGCGGACAACGACACACAUAACUCGAACGGCACAGGUCCGGCCGCCCAAGUGUAAUGGAUGUUUGUGUGUGUGUGUGUCUGAAUGGCUGGCGGACCAUAGGGCACUCUGAAUGCCAUGGCACUGGAUCCGGCCACCAACUAAGGACGAUGGCGAUGGCAUAACUCGAACGGCACAGUGGCAGAGAUGUGUCCAAUCAGUACACAGCGUUCCAGGAUAUCUGGUUGUCAAGAAGGUACCUCAUGUUGCGGGCGUAGGCCUUAAUGCCAUCCAUGGAGUCGUCAUCUGUCCACAUCUCAUCGUCAUCGUUUUCUUCGUCCGUUUCAGGAUCCGUCUCUGGAGUGGCGGCUGGCGUUGGCCCUAACGUUUCUUGUGGUGGCUGUGGAGCUGGGGCAGCCACUGUUGCUGCUGCGAUUGUUGGUGGAUUUUGCGAUGUCACUGGAACUGCUGGAACUGCUGGAGUUGCCGUCACUGCCUGGGAUUGGAUGAGCGAGUGCCUGGCUGCAGGAUCCCUCGCAGGAUUGGCGUUUCGGCUUCAUCUUCUGCCGGGAGCGGUUGUUGGCAGGCUGCUGCUGCUGUCGCUGUCGCUGUUGU
rnacentral:misc_RNA from 1 species